GCGCAGCAGUCGAGAAACCUCCGCAAUGCGGGCAACCGCGACGGGGGACCCCCAGUGCCGUGGCAUCGCCACGGCUUUUCCGGAGUGUAAAAAGCUCCGGGAAUAAGGGCUGGGCAAGGCCGGUGGCAGCCGCCGCGGUAAUACCGGCGGCCCGAGUGGUGGCCGCUAUUAUUGGGCCUAAAGCGUCCGUAGCCGGGCCUGUAAGUCCCUGGCGAAAUCCCACGGCUCAACCGUGGGGCUUGCUGGGGAUACUGCAGGCCUUGGGACCGGGAGAGGCCGGGGGUACCCCUGGGGUAGGGGUGAAAUCCUAUAAUCCCAGGGGGACCGCCAGUGGCGAAGGCGCCCGGCUGGAACGGGUCCGACGGUGAGGGACGAAGGCCAGGGGAGCGAACCGGAUUAGAUACCCCCGUAGU
rnacentral:rRNA from 1 species